rnacentral:rRNA from 1 species
GUCUAUGGCCAUACCACCCUGAACGUGCCUGAUCUUGUCUGAUCUCAGACACUAAGCAGGGUCGGGCCUGAUUAGCACUUGGAUGGGAGACCGCCUGGGAAUACUGGGUGCUGUAGGCU